rnacentral:rRNA from 1 species
GCGAAGGUAGCAUAAUCACUUGUUCUUUAAAUGAGGACUCGUAUCAACGGCAUCACGAGGAUCCUACUGUCUCCCCCCUCUAAUCGGUGAAACUGAUCUCUCCGUGAAGAAGCGGAGAUGUACAUAUAAGACGAGAAGACCCCAUGGAGCUUUAAACCCAACAACACCCGCCCCCCUCCAAAUCCUAUUAUGUGCCCGGUGACUGUUUGUUCGGUUUUAGGUUGGGGUGACCGCGGAGUAUAAGAUAUCCUCCAUGAAAAAAG